ACUUGGCUAUGACUUGGUCUCUUCUGUUACCAAGGUAACUACUUCUAACCUUUUUUCGAUGUCGAAGCCAUAUAACUUGUGGCUCACUGAAAAGACUGACCUGGACCAGCUCACCUGACUAAGUCGACAAAAUGUACCUGAGCCAGAAAAAUGCGUUCAAGUUAAAAGUUUAUUUUUCAAUUUUCUUCACCAGAUGGAGUAACCGGGAUCGUAAUUUUCUGUUGUUUGAUUUUCCUUAGCAACUCUUUUUUUCAAUUGUUACGAUUGAGAAGUUAAUUAUAAAUCAUUGACUAAUUAAAUUGUUAUUCUUUCUACUUUUUAAACCUUGUGUUUUACAGGAAGUAUUUAAAGUGAGAAUAGUUAAUUCUAACUAAUUAAACAUGUUAGUGGUGAUUGACAUAAGGAUCGGUGGUUGUAAGGACAGAAAGACCUCCCAAAUUUUUUACCAUGGAUUUAAAUAAUAAUCUCAAUCAUCGUCUCACUCUGGAUUUCCCUCUGUCUUUGCCUUUUUGACUAAAUAUUUCCAAGUUGACUGAUGUUUAAAAAAAUCCCACCACAUAUACAAUUUGGAUCCACAUUGAUUUUCAUGCUGUGAGCUUUUAAUCGUUUACUUAUUCCUAGAGUAUAAAUUGAAGUGGAUGUUGUCAAAGUCAGAAAUCAUCGAGAAGAUCAUCAUCAUCAUCAUCAUCAUCAUCAUCAUCUACAUCAUUUAAUGUUAUUAUCAACAAAAACAACAAGAUAUCCAUUCAUGUAUUGAUGAAUAACACACAGAACAUGUACUCAGAGAAUGAGAGAGACAGAAUCUAAUUCAAAGGGAGAAGACAGAAAAGGAGGAGAUGUUUGAACACACGCGUGGUCGACCAAAUAUCAUCAUGAUUCUUGGAUAAAAAAAAAGAAACAAUUUCAUCUCUUAUGGUAUAUUAAUCAAAUGAAAGAAAGGAAAAGUUAUUGGAACACAAAAAAUGCAUUAAGGUCUCAUAACUUAAUAUUUUUCUUUUACAUCAACUUGAUCAUUAAAAACUGUAACCACUCAACUAAUGGUAGCAAAGGGAAGACAAGGAAGUUAAUCAUGAUGACGAGAAUCACAAUCAACCCAGUGGAAUCAAGAAUGGAUCAAAAUAAUAAUAAUAAUAGAAAUCAAGUCUAUCAAAAAGAUAUUCAAGGAAGUAGCAUCAAAGAAAGUUACAACUAAUCACUUUAACUGGAAAUAAUCAAUUCUAAUGACAAUCUAAUGAUUACAUUUUAUGGAAAACAAAUUAUUUUUGUAUCAAAUCUGCAAAUUGGCCAAUAUAAUAAUUGAUGUUGGUUUCUCACUUCGUAAAUGAUAAGCCCCAAAUGGAAAAGGAGAGAAAAGAGAAUAUGGAAAAGAAAAGGAGACGAAAAAAAAAUGAUUCGAAGGGAGAUGAUGAUGAUGAUAAUAAUGGAAAAGAAGAAGAAGAAGAAGAAGAAGAAGACUAUGAUGAUAAUAAUGAAGAGAAGGAGAAGUGAACAUCAAUUAGAGGAAGAAAAUAAAGUUCUGGGAAGGCUUUAGAUGGAUAAAUGUACAUAUUAUUUAUAUAAUAGAUAUAGAUAUUUGUGCAUAUGGCUUUUGCCAGUUAUUAUUAUUAAGCUCGAAGUUGAUCUUUGACGCUUAAUAAAAUCGAUGACACAAUCCAUAUACACAUUGAGGGAGAAAAUGAGAGAGAAAGUGAGAGAUUGAAGGAGAGAAAUAACAUAUUACAAGUUAUGAUACUUUUCUGAUACAAACUCUCCCCCAAUUGGAGGAGUUGAUUGGGAGGUUAAACCGUAAUAUUGAUUAAGAGUCGGUGACACGGAUUUGUUACUUCACUUUCACUCUCUCCUCACUCUCUCAUUUUCUCUCUUCUUUCAUCAUCAUCUUCUUCUCAUAAUCAUCAUCAUCUUAUUAUUACGCUUCUUCUUCCUUCUCACUGAUAAACUUUCCUCCCAUUGAACAAUAAGUUAUCAUCAAAGCCUAUAGGAUGAUGAUAAUGUUGAACAAAAAUACACAGAUUAAUAAUAUCAUCAUCAUUAUUAUAUAAUAUUACAAAACAAAAUAAUAAUAACAAUAAUAACUCAACUGGUUGACUUUUCCUCUUCCUAAUCAUCUUCCUCUCCAUGCUCAUGUCAACUUAGUUUAUCUUUUGUAUUUACUAUUAAUGCUGAAAAUUGAUUUGGUUUAAACGUUAAUCGGGUAAACAAUUGAUCAGCUGAAGAUGGAAACAAAAAAAACUUAUAUCAAUGGUUAACUUAUUAUCAUGACCUGUGGUCAAUGGAUUAGCCUGAUUUUCAUUAGCGUGGAUGAGGAUGAAAAAGGAUUGAAAAUAAACGCAGCAAAGGAUUAGAAUGUAUCAUCAAAAUGAAGAUAAAGUUAAUCGAUGAGAAGAUAAUUUCGGUAGUUGGAUUGAUACGAUUCUUGGUAAUUCUGUUAUAUAUCUUAAUAAGAUCAUCUCCAAAUUAAUCAUAAUUUAUUCCUGUUAAUCGGUAACCUUUUUUUGUUAUCAAAUUAAGGAUGAUGAUGAUGAUGAUCCAGGAAAAUGAUGAAGAUGACGAGGAAGAUAAAAAGAUCUGAAAAUAUAACAAAGGGAAACAACAACAGGAAGAUGAAGAUGAAGAUGUCGAAAAAGAAAGAGGAAGAAUCAAAGAGAACAACGAAAAAUAAAGUCGAGUUUGAUUUGCAUAAAGAAAAUGGUGUCUCUCUCUCUAUCUGAUGAUUUAGAAGGCAAUAGGAUCAACCUAUGGAUCCAUAUACUUGGACAGAGGACAAUCGAGGUCAAAUUGCCAAAAAUAAGCAUAAUAAUGAAGGUUACAUAAAAUUAGCCCUAUGGGUUACAGGUAGUGUAGAGGUAGAGGGCGUCUUUUCCAGGUGAAAUUGAUUCAAUCCAAUUGAAAUUCAAUUCCAUUGAUAUAAAUUGAAUAGCGAAUACUUUUCACACGUUUCCCUUGUCUUCCAUUUUCAUAUUACCACAUACAAUCAACUGUAAAUCUAAAUGACAAUUCACAUUCAUCAUUUUCAUCUUGUUCACCAUCUUCAUCUUCUUUUUAUUAUCAUCUUGAUCAUCAUUCUCAUCUUAGAUUGUGAUAUCCACUAGGUCGUAGUCAAAGAAAAUUGAAUAUGUAUCCACCGAUCAGAGUAGAUAUUGGAAACUAUUGUUAUUAAUGUAAUUCGAACCCACCAAAACAAGGAGACAAUAUUUGAAUACAAGAAAUAUGAUGUAUUAUCCCUAACGAAUUAUCAAUUACAGAUUGGACAAUCUGAGUCGUAACUUGAUAGGCGCGAUUCAUUGACAAUAUCAAUAAGCACAUUAACCUUGGAUGAAAACAGGAUCAAUCUUCAUCUUAUGUUUUCUAUCUUCUUCCAUCAUCUUAAUCGUCGUCAUCAUCAUUCUCAUCUUUAUCUUCUAAGAGAGAGAGAGAGAGAGAGACACAAAGGACGAAAACAUUAAGCAAAUCAAAGAGGCAAAUGAAAAAACGGGAAAUACAAACAUCGAUAACAUAGAGAAAAGAAAGAGAAAUAAAGUAAGUGAAUGUCCAGUGUAGAGGAAGAGAAAUAACCAAUGGACACGCUUAAUUCUCAAUGAUUAAUUACCUUCGAUUCUCUCCCUUUGAUAUCUUCUUUUUCGAACCUUUUUCUCUCUCUCUCCCUAAUCUUUCCACCUUCAUCUCUCUCUCUCUUUCUUUCAUCUUUUUCUUCUUCUUCUUCUCGAGUUUUCUCUUCACAAACUAAGCUCAAAAAAAUCUUCUAGUGUUGGUUUACCUUUUUGUCGAUAUUAUGUCUUGAAAUGAACAAGAAUAUGUGUCCAAAGAUGAAAUCAAAGGUAAGAAUCUAAUAUAAUAAUAGUAAUGAUAAUAAUAGAUGGAAAUGAUUUUACUUGUUACUCCAUCUUGACAAAAAGAAACCUAUUUAUCCUCUAGUUUAGUCAACAGGGUGUCUCAAAAUGUCUUAGAGUGAGUGAAAAAGAGCCUCUAGUUGUGAGUAUCUCUCUGAUAUCUCAAUAGAUUUUUUGAAUAAUUUCUUACCUUUGGUUUCCUCUGAAGAUAAAAAGGAGGGACUAUGGCUUUUCAUUCAUCAUCAUCAUCAUUAUCAUCAUCAUCUUGAUCAUCAUCGUCUUCCUCAUCUUCUUCUAUCUCCAUCUUCAUAUUAUACUGAAGAUCAGAGAAAGAGAAGCACAAAAGAGACACAGAAAAAAAAGUAAAGGUAAAAAAAGGCUAUGAAGAUGAAUAUGAUGAUGAUGAUGAUGAUGAUCAAUGUGAGAGGUGAGAAAGGAAGAAGAAGAUGAAAGUGACCAUAAAUUGUAUGAAAAGAGAUUCAAUGAAGACAUCAACAUCUUAUUGAACUAUUGGACAAAGAAUAGAUGAUAAAGACGAUGAAGAUAAAGAAGAAGAUGUCUUAUUUAUCUUCUUCCAUUGAAAUUAUUAUGCAUUUACGCCUUUGGUCAACCAAACACACAAUAAGAUCAUCUCAUCCUUUUAUCAUCUUCACAGUUAUAUCAUAAUCCAUGAAAGGAUAAACUUGUAUCAUCUUUUGUUAUCCUCACCUUGUUAUCUUGUCUAUUAGAUUAUCCAACUUAUCAUUGUUAUCUUAUUAUUAUUAUUUUCUUCUUGAUAAUCACUGUUAACAAAUUCAAUUGAUUGUCAAAACUAUUUAUUUAAAUGAUCAAAAAGAUAUCAUCAUUACGUGUGGCUUCAUAUGAUUAAUAUCAAUCUACAAUUUGAUUACCAUAAUUUGUCUCAAUUGUUGUGUUAACUUUACCUGGAUUUUUGAUUCUUGCUUCUUAUAUGUUAAUCAUUUUGCUUUUUUCUUCUUGAUUCCUAAUCAAGUUGUUAAUUGUGAUGAUUGAGCAAAAAAAAAUACAAAUGUGAAAACAAACAACAUGUAAUUGAGAUUUAAAAUGAUUAAGUGUACAAGCCCAAUGAUUGUGAUCUUAAUCAAGUUAUUUAUUAGUUUGAUGAUCAAUGAUUGUUGAUUUUGUGUUUGUUUUGGUUAUCAUUAUUAUCGUUGUUGUUGUUUUUUCUGUUGCGUUAUUUUUUUUCUGCUAAUCAAUUGAAAAGAUGAUGAAUUAUGAUGAGAGAUGAAGAUGAAGAUGAAAUGAGAUGGUGAUGAGGAUGGAGGAUAAAAAGAGCGAAAAAUUUUGGCAAAUAUCAAUUCUCUUUGUAUUGUUGUUGUUAUUUAGCCAAUUUGACAAAUAAAUGAAGAUGAUUGAGAGCAUAAGGAGGAUGAUGAUGAUGAUGAUGAGAAGGUGGAUGAGGAAAAGGGAGACCUGAAACCUGACCAGGCACUAAUAACAUCUUAUAUCGUUGGAGUAAAAGGUGAACAGAAGAUGAUAAUGAUUUGUUUACACUCGAAAGGAAAAGCAUUUCAAGUGAUAUUGCGGUCAUCCUUCAAAUUUAGUGUUAAAAUUCAAGCCUGUGUUUAUUGGCCACGAUGAAGAGAAAUU